rnacentral:rRNA from 1 species
UACAGAGGUGUCAAACGUUGUCCGGAAUUACUGGGCGUAAAGGGCGCGUAGGCGGCCUUAUAAGUCAUUUGUGAAAGCUCUGGGCUCAACCCAGGAAUUGCAAGUGAUACUGUAAGGCUUGAGUUCGGUAGAGGAGGGCGGAAUUCCAGGUGUAGCGGUGAAAUGCGUAGAUAUCUGGAGGAACACCCGUGGCGAAGGCGGCUCUCUGGACCACAACUGACGCUGAGGCGCGAAAGCUAGGGGAGCAAACAGG